AUUGAACGCUGGCGGCAGGCCUAACACAUGCAAGUCGAGCGCGCGGCGGACGGGUGAGUAAUGUCUGGGAAACUGCCUGCUGGAGGGGGAUAACUCUUGGAAACGGUAGCUAAUACCGCAUACCCUCAGAUGUGCCCCGAUGGGAGUAGCUAGAAGGUGGGGUAACGGCUCACCCAGGCGACGAUCCCUAGCUGUGCUGAGAGGAUGACCAGCCACACUGGAACUGAGACACGGUCCAGACUCCUACGGGAGGCAGCAGUGGGGAAUAUUGCACAAUGGGCGCAAGCCUGAUGCAGCCAUGCCGCGUGUGUGAAGAAGGCCUUCGGGUUGUAAAGCACUUUCAGCGGGGAGGCGUUACCCGCAGAAGAAGCACCGGCUAACUCCGUGCCAGCCGCCGCGGUAAUUC
rnacentral:rRNA from 1 species